GGGCGGUUAGCUCAGCGGAAGAGCACGCGCCUUACAAGCGCGGGGCCACAGGUUCGAUCCCUGUACCGCCCACCA
rnacentral:tRNA from 1 species